rnacentral:rRNA from 1 species
CCUACGGGAGGCAGCAGUGGGGAAUAUUGCACAAUGGGGGAAACCCUGAUGCAGCAAAGCCGCGUGAAGGAAGACGGUUUUCGGAUUGUUAACUUCUGUUCUUAGUGAAGAAUAAUGACGGUCGCUAAGGAGCACGCCACGGCUAACUACGUGCCAGCAGCCGCGGUAAUACGUAGGUGGCAAGCGUUGUCCGGAAUUACUGGGUGUAAAGGGAGCGCAGGCGGGAAGCCAAGUCAGCUGUGAAAACUACGGGCUUAAAUUGUAGACUGCAGUUGAAACUGGUUUUCUUGAGUGAAGUAGAGGUAUGCGGAAUGCCGAGUGUAGCGGUGAAAUGCGUAGAUAUUCGGAGGAACACCGGUGGCGAAGGCGGCCAACUGGGCUUUAACUGACGCUGAGGCUCGAAAGUGUGGGGAGCGAACAGGAUUAGAUACCCUUGUAGUC